AAAGCACGUCAGCUAACUGUUCAGAUGAUGCAAAAUCCUCAGAUUCUUGCAGCUCUUCAGGAAAGACUUGAUGGUCUGGUAGACACACCAACAGGAUACAUUGAAAGCUUGCCUAAGGUAGUCAAAAGACGGGUGAAUGCUCUCAAGAAUCUUCAAGUUAAAUGUGCACAGAUAGAAGCCAAAUUCUAUGAGGAAGUUCAUGACCUUGAGAGAAAGUAUGCUGUUCUCUAUCAGCCUCUGUUUGAUAAGCGAUUUGAGAUCAUUAAUGCAAUUUAUGAACCUACAGAAGAAGAAUGUGAAUGGAAACCAGAUGAGGAAGAUGAAGUUUCGGAGGAGCUGAAAGAAAAGGCCAAGAUUGAAGAUGAG
rnacentral:lncRNA from 1 species